AGUGAACGCUGGCGGUAGGCCUAACACAUGCAAGUCGAACGGCAGCACAGUAAGAGCUUGCUCUUACGGGUGGCGAGUGGCGGACGGGUGAGGAAUACAUCGGAAUCUACUUUUUCGUGGGGGAUAACGUAGGGAAACUUACGCUAAUACCGCAUACGACCUACGGGUGAAAGCAGGGGAUCUUCGGACCUUGCGCGAUUGGAUGAGCCGAUGUCGGAUUAGCUAGUUGGCGGGGUAAAGGCCCACCAAGGCGACGAUCCGUAGCUGGUCUGAGAGGAUGAUCAGCCACACUGGAACUGAGACACGGUCCAGACUCCUACGGGAGGCAGCAGUGGGGAAUAUUGGACAAUGGGCGCAAGCCUGAUCCAGCCAUACCGCGUGGGUGAAGAAGGCCUUCGGGUUGUAAAGCCCUUUUGUUGGGAAAGAAAAGCAGCAGGUUAAUACCCCGCUGUUCUGACGGUACCCAAAGAAUAAGCACCGGCUAACUUCGU
rnacentral:rRNA from 1 species